ACACUUUGAGGCCCAACCCAUCUAAGAAAAACCUAACCUAGCACUGUCUCUCCCAGCUAUAACGCAACGCCGCCGCCCGUCCCUAGCCCAAGCUCCCAGCCGUAACGCCACCGCUCGUCCCUAGGCCCUGGCUAGCGGCUAGCUCGCGCGUCCUGCUCUGUGCUCUCUCGGUCUCUCCCAGCCCCAAGCUCCCAGCGCCAGCCGCCUGCUCGCCAGAAGCCACGGCUCCACCGCAGAUUGGCCUCACCGCGGCACGCCGGCACCGGUGACACGCCGUGACGCCGUGCCAGCCGCCCAGCCUCAACAGCUCCUCCACCACACGCCGUCGUGACGUGCCGUCCCUCCACUGCUGACUGCUCCACAGGCCACGGCUCCCUCUGUCCCUCGCAGUCGCAGCACCAGCACGACACGGCAGCCGACAGGAACUCUCUUCAGCGGCUACGGCUCCAUUCCUGAGAUGACGCCUCCGGUUGGAAAUAAUACUCCCUCAAGCUCAACCAUAAAAUUAGCCAAGUUGAUGUCUACCACAAGAGCGCCUUCUACACACAAAACAAAUUCGGUAUUCAUAUACAUGCUAAGUGAUCCAGAUGUAAGCAAGUGAUUAUGAAUAUAUGUUUUAAACUUUAUAUUGUGUCAUGUGUGCUAGUAGACUUAUAUGGCUUCUUAUGUUAGCCAAGAGUCCAAGACUUAUCACUCAUGUGCUACAUUAAACUAUGUGUGCUUCACAUUUAUAUGGCUUUUAUCUAUGUUUAAUUAAGACUUGUGUUUAUAUUUUUUAUAUUUGUUGUUAAGUUUUGAAUAUAUGGUUUCAUGGUGUGAUUUUACCGAAC